AUUGAACGCUGGCGGCAGGCCUAACACAUGCAAGUCGAGCGAGUGGCGGACGGGUGAGUAAUGUCUGGGAAACUGCCUGAUGGAGGGGGAUAACUACUGGAAACGGUAGCUAAUACCGCAUACCAUCAGAUGUGCCCAGAUGGGAUUAGCUCGUAGGUGGGGUAAAGGCUCACCUAGGCGACGAUCCCUAGCUGGUCUGAGAGGAUGACCAGCCACACUGGAACUGAGACACGGUCCAGACGCCUACGGGAGGCAGCAGUGGGGAAGAGUGCACAAUGGGCGCAAGCCUGAUGCAGCCAUGCCGCGUGUAUGAAGAAGGCCUUCGGGUUGUAAAGUACUUUCAGCGGGGAGGCGUUACCCGAAGAAGAAGCACCGGCUAACUCCGUGCCAGCAGCCGCGGUAAUUC
rnacentral:rRNA from 1 species